rnacentral:tRNA from 1 species
GCGCCCGUAGCUCAGUUGGAUAGAGCAUUGGUCUACGGAACCAAGGGUCGCAGGUUCGAAUCCUGCUGGGCGCGC